rnacentral:rRNA from 1 species
UACGGGGGGGGCAAGCGUUGUUCGGAAUUACUGGGCGUAAAGGGCUUGUAGGUGGCCAACUAAGUCAGACGUGAAAUCCCUCGGCUUAACCGGGGAACUGCGUCUGAUACUGGAUGGCUGGAGUGUGGGAGAGGGAUGCGGAAUUCCAGGUGUAGCGGUGAAAUGCGUAGAUAUCUGGAGGAACACCGGUGGCGAAGGCGGCAUCCUGGACCGACAUUGACGCUGAAAGCCGAAAGCUAGGGGAGCAAACGGG